GAGCUGAGACGGACACGGACGACCUCCCUCUCCAGCAGACUGUAAAACCACCCUGGAGCGCGUCAUCUGACCUGAAAUUUUACAGACGUACCUAAACGUUGGCAUAUGGAGAUGCGAAAGUUUUCACAGAUUCACAGGUGUGUGAACAUUCCGACCAGUUGGACCACUCUGUGAGCAGGCAGUUUACAGGACAGCCCACCUCACAUGGGGCAGACAGCUUUCCUCGUGAUGGACCCAACUAGAAAAAAGAAGAAAUAGUAAAGAAGAGCCAGGAUAGGACGAGAGCGAGUCUGCCUUCCCUCAAAAUGUUUACUGGAACAUGAUUGUGAACAUGGAGACCAGGAACCCCAAUCUCCCAGCACACAGUCUUCUGGACAGGCCAUCUCACAGGUCU